rnacentral:lncRNA from 1 species
GAUUUGAUUUUUACCUGAUACGCAGUGAAAUAGAGAUCAAAUCUCCAAAGAUUUUGAAUCUAAAGCCUCGCAUAAGUCUGAACUUCUAAACCCUCUACUUCGUGUGCACGCCAAACUUCGUAGGAAAGUAGGAUGAAGCCUCGGAUUAAAGUACCUUCGCAAGGCAAUAAAAGAGGAGAAAAAGCUUCAAAUGUGACACCUCACACCAGCAAGAGGGGAUGCCUAAUAUGCCUUCAUGC